CAAGAAUUAGGGUAUAGAUUUAUAAAGAUCGCCUCAUAGUUAUUAAAUUUGUGGCAAAUAUCAUAUAACAUUUGCGCCAAGAAUGACAAGGAAGAGAUAUGUCUAGUGAUAUUCUCAUAAUAUACAUACCACUAAGUGGGCUGCUGAAGUGCUGAACUAAUUGAAGGCCUUGAUAGUCACUGCCUUAGUAGGACGAGCUAGACCAGCUCAUCCCGUAUCCCACGUGAAGAUUCGUCUUCGGGAUGGACCAUCCUCUCCUGGGGACGUCAACCGAAGUGAACAUAGCCUAAUAGUGAGUGUUUCGUUGUUUCGCUUUCGUAGGAUAGGAUUCGUUCUGAUUGAACGUCGGUCACACAAUUACAAGUACUUGAUAUUUGUUAUAUUACUUAUAAAUUAGUGGCUUAUACCGUAUUUACUCUUGAAGCUAAAGGGUUACAUCCUCAAGAUGAAUGGUUACAUUCUGAAUUUAAAGGGUUAUCUUCUUAUAUAAGGAACCUAUGUACUCACUGCAGUGAUAGUUGUAUCUUGUUUUUCUUUUGUGAUGAUCUUGUGCAUUUGAGAAGGAAACGUAGUCUAUAACUUGUUCAUACCUUGCUCCUGGAUUGGGAAUAACAUCGGAUCGGGACCCGCGCAACGAGGACACCGGAUGACAAUAUUGAAGCGAGACGAACUACGAUAGAGUUCACAGGGCUACUUUCCCCGGCGACACAACCUCGUGGCAUGCAUUUCACGUUCCACUUCGUGCUAGCCGUUAACAUUGCUCCUUGCUAAAAUUAGCUCAACUAAUUGCACCACCCACCUGCCCGGCAGCCUCGGCUGGCCGGGGCAUAAAAGGGAGUGGCGGAGAUUCUCCCCCGGCAGCGCCGGCCGAUCGACCACCGGAGCUAGACGGCCGGCGGCCGGAAAUCGAAACAUACUACGGCAGGGAGGCGGCGGCGCAUCACACGGCUAGCAAGCUAGCCGCAUUGUCGAGGUCUCAAGGAUGGGUGACUGCAGGCCCCUCGGGUUCCUGCUCUCCCUGCCCUUCGCCUUCCUCUCGCUCCUCCUCUCCGUCGUCGGCGUCGCCCUCUGGCUUGUCGCGAUAACGCUGUGCUGCAUCUGCCCGUGCUUCUCGUGCUGCGUCAAGGUGGUCGAGCUGGCCGUGGCCCUCAUGAAGCUGCCGGUCUCCAUCAUCAUCUUCUUCAUUAACCUCAUCCCGUGCUAGCACGGUUCUGCCCUGUUGUUUAUACAGCAUUACUUGUUGUACAUGUGAUGGGGUUAGUAUUCAGUAUUCACGCAUCGAGGAGCACGCAUACAGUUCUCUCAGCGCUCAUUCUGAAAGCGGCGCACACAGAUGUAUGUUGUGUAACAUGCAUGAACUAAUGCACAGCAUUUUGGAUCAAACAAUGACCGAAGCCUCA